UGUUUCUAGGGCUGAAUUUCAAGGGGAUCAGAACUUCCAGUUGGAUGGAAAUGAAUGUGCAAUUUAGCACUUGUGUGCAUUUUUCUGGGAAGAGGGAUACACUAACACUUAGGGCCUUAGUGCUAUAUUGUAUUGUUUGGGGAAGGUGUGACCUUACAUUGUUAUUUUUAAUGCAAGUAAGCAGAUAGACAGUGACCCCAAUAUAAGGCAGGUAUUGACAACCAACAAUUCAGUCUAUGUCUUCAAGUAUAUAAAGGCCGUCAGGGAGUGGGUGGUGGGCCCGAGGGCUGAAUUGAGGCCAAACAGAGAAUGGGAUAGUGCCAGAAGUAGUGAGCACCCCAGUGAUGUCUCUUAGGGAGGUUGUAGAGGGAACUCAGUGUCAGGUAGGGGUGUGAGAGGGGGUUGCAUACCUCUAAGGUCCCUUCCAUUUGGAGCUUAUGGAUUUUUUUUUUUUUUUGGAUAGCCAUGAACCCAACCUUGCACAGCAGCAUUGGGAGAGUCAAAUACAUUUAUGCCAAAGAUGUCGGGGUGGGUUUGGCUUGUCGAAUUGGAGCUGGGCAGACAUCCCAGAGGGGGUAUUAUCAUCUGAUCAUUUAAAUUUUACCUCCAGAAUUGGAGUUAGGGUUUAUUAUAAUGAAUCAAACAAAAGGCAGCCACAUUGCUUCCAGCCCUCCCCUCACGCCUGCCGACAUUUAAUAAGGGGCCCUGUGGGAGUAGAGGAGGGAGCCUGGAGCAGAGGGGGAAAGGGCAGCUCUUCUGGGGGGCUGGCUGCCAUUCUGUCCCCUAGGCUGACAAAUGUAGUUGGAGAAGCCUCACAGGUGGGCUUCACUUUAAGAAACUGGUGGGCUUUUGAAAUGUCCCAAUUUUAAUAGCACUCCUGUCCUAUGUUUGGAGAGAUAGAGCUUCAUUUUCAUCUCCUUCCAAAAGGCCCUGAUAUGUGGAGUCUCUCCCUGGGCCUCAAUUUGUUCAUCUGUGCAAUGGGUCAGGGGUUAUUAACACUAAGUGUUCAUGGAUAGGCUUCAGAAAUAUCAGAACCUUCUGAAAUGAAACGCAAAUUUUUGUGUGCAUGAGUUUAUGUCUACCUUUCCGGGAGAGAGAAUUGAUACAUUCAUCAGAUUCUCAAAUGUUGAAGACUCACUGGUAUAUAUUACCUUUGGGGGCCUCUUUCUUCCAAUAGUACAUGGCAUCUCUCUCUGUCUUCACCCCAAAUGAAAUCAGUAUGACAACAGAGUUCAUUUCUAAAUCUCCAUCACCCUGCAUUAUGUUGACUUUUCAUUUUAAUCCACCCCAGAUCCAAUAUCUCAUCUGUUUUCCUGGCAACAGUUGUUAAACCUUAGUUUUCCAAUUGGUAAAAUGAAAAGGUUGGAUUAGGUGAUUCUGUAAAGUCCCUUCUGUUUCUUUGUUUGUUUGGGGGGCGUUUUGGCCACACUGCGUGGCAUACAGGAUCUUAGUUCCCUGACUUGGGAUGGAACCCCAUGCCCCCUGCAGUGGAAGGGCAGAGUCUUAACCACUGGACCACCAGGGAAGUCCCCCCUUCUGUUUUUGACUCUAUGAUAUACUCUCAGGGAGCGACCACAGAUAUGGUUGGUGAAUUCACACUAAAAUGUGAAUGACUACCUUUCUAGGCAGCUGCUGAUAGACAGAAGUGGGAGUUGCUGCUUUUCACCCAUUCUACAUUUUUAGUGUAGGUUUCAGCAAACAUUUUCUGUAAAGGUCUCUGUCAGAAGUACUCCUCUCCUGUUGUAGCAUAAAAGUAGCUUUAUUUACAAGACAGGUAGUGAGCUGGAUUUGGCCUGCGGUCUGUGGUUUGCCCUGGAUUAAUGAAAAGAACAAAGGUUUUGAGCCAGAUUAGACCUGGGUUUGAAUACCAACUCUACUACUUACUCCUGUGGAAACCUGGACAAGUUAUGUAAAAUCUGAGUCUCUCUAGCUUCUGAAGAGUGGGAAUAACACUGCCAAGAAGGUCAGCAGGAUUGAAUAAAGAUGAUGAACACUUAAGACCAACCUCUCUGGGGCCACAUUGCCUGGAUCCAAAUCCUGGUUCCAUCACUCAAUUGUGUGAAGACUUGGGCAAGUUACUUAACCUCCCUUUGCCUCAUUUAUCAUCGAUCCAUGGGAAUGACAAUGACCCCACCACCUCAUGGGAUCAUAGGUAGGAUUAAAUAUUAAUAUUGGAUUCAGGAUAGUGCUAGCUUACACAGCUUGUUGUUAUAUGUUUAGUACAUGUCAGUUACAUAAUGCUGAUCUAUUUCUUCUCCUUCUCACCCAUCUUUGCCCAUUUCAAAGGCAACCCAGCUACUGCUGUGCUUUCAUGUAGCCGAAACAAUGUCUCUGUUCCCUUGUCCCCUCCUUAGGAAACUGCCCCAGAGGUUUGAAUUGGGGUCUGAGUAGCCAAAUCUGAGUCUCCUUGGGCCUGAGUGCAUGUGACCACUGGGCAGGAAGUUCCAGCUUCGGAAAUACCAGCCUCCACAAGCCUUGCCAGGCAGCAGCCAACCUCCUGCAGGACCUGGCUGCCUCACAAGCCCUCCGCUGUCAGUCCCCAUUAGGCUGCUGGCAAGGGAGAUGCUCCCUCAGCUGGACCAUGUUUCAGGGAGGCCCUGACCUCAGCUAUGACCCAGAAGAGCUGGAGACAGAAGUGUGGUAACCAGAGGCUCCUGAAAGUGCUGGCAAGUGAUUGGCUUCUGAUGUCUUUCUUACUAGCUACUGGCUUGUCAUCAGGCCUGGGAGGGGCUGAGCUGGGCCCCUAGCAGGGCAUGAAGGUAAGGGGUUGGGCCGUAGGAAAUCAAGGGAAACCAUCUCUGUCCCCAGAGGACGCCCAGCAGGGGUCAUGGCCGGAACAUACCCUUGAGCCACGGUUGAUUGUUUCUACAGCAAAGAAUAUAGAGGGAGCAGCCACCCCACCUACUGCAGGCUCCAGUGCAGAGUCUCAGCCUAGGACAGGAAGAUGUGGAGUCAGAAGAGGAGAGGCCUGAAGCAAAAACCCAGCUUCUGGCAAUGAUAGGACAUGGUCCCCUGCAACUUGAACCUUCUUGGAGGAAAAGGAAACAGAUUUUGGAAGAGUCGAGACACCUUGGCCAUUUGGUUUUCCCCCAACGUGGAGAACUAGGCAAAGGUAUAAACGAAGAGUAAGCCUAGCCCUGAGGGACAUGAAUGGACCUGGAGCAGGCAGCAAAACCACUCCAACAACAAUGGAAAAAUGUAUUGAUUAUCAGUGCUUUCUGUGGAGAGAUUUGCAACUAAAAGGGAAAAAUGAUGGAGGAAAUUUUCACAUUCUGAGGGGACUCUUCUAGAACAGCAGAGGUGACUCAGGAGGCCCUGGAAGAUCUCAGCCUCACAAGAUGGAGAAGCCAGAUACCAAAUCACGAGGGAAGGCCAGCUGCAGUUGGCAAAACUCAUUUGGACUGUGAUGUGAGUGAAAAACAUAUGCUUGUUGAAUGAAGGAAUAGUCAAAGAGCUAAAAGACUGGAAUGUUUCUAAGUACCAAGAGCAGAAGAGUACAGGGUUUUCUGUGAAACUUUGGAAAGGAUGAUGAACUAGUUGACAGGAAAUUUUUCUCACUCCAAAGAAUUGGGUUGGAUCAACUGGCACUUUGGUGAAGCUAUCCUGAGAAGCCACUAUUCUUUUCCAUUUUCUCCUGCUGCCCCCACAUCUAAAGAGCACAAAGUGUUUCUAAGGCUAUAGAUAGCCAUGUGGGAUGGUAUUGUAGUUAAUACUGAGUUCUGAAGACCCUGGUUUUGCUAGUGAAAUGAUAGGAGCAU